UACGAAGGGGGGCUAGCGUUGCUCGGAAUCACUGGGCGUAAAGCGCACGUAGGCGGAUUGCUAAGUCAGGGGUGAAAUCCUGGAGCUCAACUCCAGAACUGCCCUUGAUACUGGCGGUCUCGAGUCCGGGAGAGGUGAGUGGAACUGCGAGUGUAGAGGUGAAAUUCGUAGAUAUUCGCAAGAACACCAGUGGCGAAGGCGGCUCACUGGCCCGGUACUGACGCUGAGGUGCGAAAGCGUGGGGAGCAAACAGG
rnacentral:rRNA from 1 species